GACGAACGCUGGCGGCGUGCUUAACACACGCAAGUCGAGCGGUAAGGCCCUUUCGGGGGUACACGAGCGGCGAACGGGUGAGUAACACGUGGGUGACCUGCCCUCAGCUCUGGGAUAAGCCUGGGAAACUGGGUCUAAUACUGGAUAUGACUCCACGGUGCAUGUCGUGGGGUGGAAAGCCUUGUGCGGCUGAGGAUGGGCCCGCGGCCUAUCAGCUUGUUGGCGGGGUGAUGGCCUACCAAGGCGACGACGGGUAGCCGGCCUGAGAGGGCGACCGGCCACACUGGGACUGAGACACGGCCCAGACUCCUACGGGAGGCAGCAGUGGGGAAUCUUGCGCAAUGGGCGAAAGCCUGACGCAGCGACGCCGCGUGAGGGAUGACGGCCUCGGUGUAAC
rnacentral:rRNA from 1 species